GAUAAACGCUGGCGGCGCACAUAAGACAUGCAAGUCGAACGGAAGUCGUUGUAAUGAAAUGGAAAUGGACAGAGAACUUGUUCGAAGAAAGUUGAAGUAGACUUACAACAAUGGCUUUAGUGGCGGACUGGUGAGUAGCGCGUAAGGAACCUGCCUUUUAGAGGGGAAUAACAAUGAGAAAUCAUUGCUAAUACCGCAUAUGCCGAGAGAAUCACAUGGUACAAUCGGGAAAGGAGCAAUCCGCUAAAAGAUGGCCUUGCGUCUGAUUAGAUAGUUGGUGGGGUAACGGCCUACCAAGUCGACGAUCAGUAGCCGGACUGAGAGGUUGAACGGCCACAUUGGGACUGAGAUACGGCCCAGACUCCUACGGGAGGCAGCAGUCGGGAAUAUUGCGCAAUGGAGGAAACUCUGACGCAGUGACGCCGCGUAUAGGAAGAAGGUUUUCGGAUUGUAAACUAUUGUCGUUAGGGAAGAGAAAGGACAGUACCUAAGGAGGAAGCUCCG
rnacentral:rRNA from 1 species